rnacentral:lncRNA from 1 species
GAGAAAGAGAGAGAGAGUAUAGGGAUAUCGAUUAAGCGUUUGAUGUUCACCGACUUCAUGUCAAAACGUUCUCGUGAACUUGAGCGUAAUAACAUCACGAGGAGUUUCUCGAGUUUAAUGGAAUAAAAAAAAGAAGAAAGAGAGAGAGAGAAAGAA